AUCCUAGUUGAGCCAGAUUCUACUAAUCCGACGGUUCUCAGCAUCCUAAACCUUUACAUCCAAAAGAUCUUUGUUUCUUAAACCCUAAAUCCCCAUUUUAGUACUCACCUUUUUCUGCAUUUCACUCAUUUUUCACUUCGAUUCUCCAAGGACUCAAGAACAGUUUUGACGCUGAAAUGGCUUGGCGCAGUGGAGGAUCGUUCUCACGCGCUCUCGUCUCCGCCGCUAGGGCUCCAUCUCGCCUCUCCUCGCCGCCGCUCCCCCGCAUCCGUCCGCCGUCCAGUGCCUCCCCUCGGCUACAGUCGCGCCGACUGUCCUUUGCUACCUCUAGGAACAUGGGAGAACUAGGAUGUAUGCAAUCAUUCUUGCCUCUGCAUAGCAUGGUGUCUACGAACCACCUCACGUCCCGCCUCAAUGCUAAUUUGCGGGCUUUUUGCGAGCUGUCUCAUGGUACCUUCUACCGCACUUGUCAGGAUCGCUAGUAGUCUCUUUGGAGGAAUGGAAAAGACGGGUGAUGCACGUGGACUUUCAAUCAGCUAAAGGUGCAGGAUUAUUGCCAAGAUUGUACUUGAAGGGCAGUUCGAUGUGUGCAGAAUAAUGCAACAACAAGAGUCAGAGAGUGGGUGCACCCUAGAGGUCUUAGGUUUUUUAGGUAGGAAUAUUUUAAUAAAGUGUCGUGUUUUUAUUAUACUUCAGAGAUUAAUCUUGAAAUGUUCUUACGUUUGGGACAAUCAAAUGGAGGCUUUGGUAGGCAACUAUAUUUUACUUGUAAUUGUGACAGGCAAUAUUUACUUUGUUUCUGCCUGGUAUCUGCAAGAUUAUGCUGAUUAUAACCUUGUUAUUUAUUGGGUUUUCUAUA